CAGUCGCCACGGUAACACGUAGGUGGCAAGCGUUGUCCGGAAUUAUUGGGCGUAAAGGGCUCGCAGGCGGUUUCUUAAGUCUGAUGUGAAAGCCCCCGGCUCAACCGGGGAGGGUCAUUGGAAACUGGGAAACUUGAGUGCAGAAGAGGAGAGUGGAAUUCCAUGUGUAGCGGUGAAAUGCGUAGAUAUAUGGAGGAACACCGGUGGCGAAAGCGGCUCUCUGGCCUGUAACUGACGCUGAGGCUCGAAAGCGUGGGGAGCAAACAGGAUUAGAUACCCCCGUAGUCCCUGUCUCUUAUAC
rnacentral:rRNA from 1 species